AUGGCGUCCGCCGCGACGGCGCCGGCGGCGGGGAAGCGGCCGGCGACGGGCGGGCGGGAGGGCGACCAGAUGGUGAUCACCCCACUCGGCGCCGGCAGCGAGGUAGGCCGCUCCUGCGUCCACAUGACUUUCAAGGGCCGCACAGUCCUAUUCGACUGCGGCAUCCACCCGGCAUACUCCGGCAUGGCGGCUCUCCCAUAUUUCGACGAGAUCGACCCCUCCGCCAUCGACGUCCUGCUCGUCACCCACUUCCACCUGGACCACGCCGCCUCGCUGCCAUACUUCCUGGAGAAGACGACGUUCAAGGGCCGCGUGUUCAUGACCCACGCCACCAAGGCCAUCUACAGGCUGCUGCUCUCCGAUUAUGUAAAGGUCAGCAAGGUGUCUGUGGAAGACAUGCUGUUCGACGAACAGGACAUCAUCCGCUCCAUGGACAAAAUCGAGGUCAUAGACUUCCACCAGACAUUGGAAGUUAACGGCAUACGCUUCUGGUGCUAUACUGCUGGGCAUGUACUUGGCGCUGCCAUGUUCAUGGUGGAUAUUGCUGGUGUUCGCAUUCUUUACACUGGCGACUACUCCCGUGAAGAAGACCGUCACCUCAAAGCUGCUGAGAUACCCCAGUUCUCCCCUGAUAUUUGCAUUAUCGAGUCAACUUACGGUGUGCAGCAACACCAACCCCGCCAUGUCAGAGAGAAGCGCUUCACUGAUGCCAUCCACAACACAGUUUCUCAAGGGGGCCGUGUUCUUAUCCCAGCAUUUGCUCUUGGUAGAGCACAGGAACUGUUGCUUAUCCUGGAUGAGUAUUGGUCUAACCACCCAGAGCUCCAUAAGAUUCCAAUCUAUUAUGCCUCCCCUCUUGCGAAGAAGUGUAUGGCUGUCUACCAGACAUACAUAAACUCCAUGAAUGAAAGGAUAAGGAAUCAGUUUGCACAGUCCAAUCCGUUCCAUUUCAAGCAUAUUGACCCUUUGAAUAGCAUUGACAACUUCCAUGAUGUGGGUCCGUCAGUGGUGAUGGCAAGUCCAGGUAGCCUCCAAAGUGGUCUCUCCAGGCAGCUCUUUGACAAGUGGUGCACAGAUAAGAAGAACACAUGUGUUAUUCCAGGUUAUGCUGUGGAAGGCUCGCUUGCAAAGACCAUCAUCAACGAACCGAGAGAAGUGACACUAGCAAAUGGGCUCACUGCUCCUCUUAAUAUGCAGAUCUUCUACAUCUCCUUCUCAGCUCACGCUGAUUUUCCACAGACGAGUGGCUUCUUGGAAGAGCUUCGCCCACCAAACAUUAUUCUUGUCCAUGGAGAAGCAAAUGAGAUGGGUAGGCUUAAGCAGAAACUUAUCACCCAGUUUGAUGGGACAAACACAAAAAUUGUUUCUCCCAAGAACUGCCAAUCGGUCGAGAUGUAUUUUAGUUCUGAGAAAAUGGCCAAGACAAUUGGCAGACUGGCAGAGAAGGUACCAGAAGUGGGAGAUACAGUUAGUGGCUUGCUUGUAAAGAAGGGCUUCACGUAUCAGAUUAUGGCCCCUGAGGACCUCCGCGUGUACACCCAACUGUCUACUGCCAACAUUACUCAGAGGAUUGCUGUCCCGUAUUCUGGUUCUUUUGAGGUGGUCAAGUACAGACUGAAGCAAAUAUACGAGAGCGUGGAAUCAUCAACCGAAGAAGAUGUUCCAGUACUGACUGUUCACGAGAGAGUGGCCAUCCGCCUGGAUUCAGAGAGCUACGUGACGCUGCAGUGGUCGUCCGAUCCCAUAAGCGACAUGGUGUCCGACUCGGUGGUGGCCAUGAUCUUGAACAUUGGCCGUGAGGGUCCGAAGGUUGUUCCGAUCGAAGAAGCGGUGAAGACGGAAGAAGAAACAGAGAAGGUGGCGCGGAAGGUGGUGUACUCUCUGAUGGUAUCACUCUUCGGCGACGUUAAAGUUGCAGAGGAAGGGAAGCUUGUCAUAACUGUGGAUGGAGACGUCGCGCACUUGGAUGGCAGGAGCGGUGAUGUGGAGUGCGAGAAUGCUGGGCUGAAAGAGAGGAUCAAGACCGCGUUCCGGCGCAUACAGGGUGCGGUGAGACCGAUCCCGCUUUCGGCCUCCUGA
rnacentral:rRNA from 1 species